AUUUAUGACAUGCUUUGAAAAUUUCCACAAUAUAGCAUGAAUAUGUUUUUUAAACACUGGCACAAUUGGUGGUUUGUAAUCCGCUUAUUUAAUUCAAAUUAUUCCCCUUGAAAGACACUGUUUCGUUUGAGCAGUUCACAGGUAGCGCAACCUGUCUCGUAGUGUUCAUUUUCAAUGGCUAUUAAACGCUGUAAAUCAAAAUGACAUCGUGUACUAAUGGAUGUCUUCAAUCGAAGAAGGUUCGGAAAUGAUAUUUCCACAUGCUUAAAAUAGGUUGGGAAGUUACGGUCUUGGCGAACAGCAUUCUCACUUUCAGUGUGACAACUGUUGCGGCCAAAAUAAAAACAACAUAGUCAUCUGGUACCUUCUGUGGAGAGUUCUUGUAGGUUUACACAGAAUCAUCACACUAAGCUUUAUGUUGAUAAGACAUACAAAGUUUACACCAGAUUGGCACUUUGGCAUCUGGAAGUCAAAGUGGAGAAACUUCAAUGCAGAAAUGUUGUCUUAUGUCGCUGCGUCUGUGGGGUUAUCGUCAAGGACGGGCCACAACAUCCCCCAGCUUGGGGGAGACUCUUGCAAUCCUGUUGUUAUCUAAGACAGGAAGGAUUACCCAACGACAUUGUUUCACCACAUAAAGAAUGUCACCAAAUUUCAUCAAUUUCCAUGUGUCAGCGGAGCAUCCCGGUGUUGUGGAAUGCAGGGAAUUUAGUGACUCACCAGUAGUCAGAAUCACUCUCAGGAAGGUCUCGAAAGUGAAUGUUAAUGUGAGCUGUGACAACCUGCCAUAAGAAAUGUUUGCGAAAGGGCUCGAUCUGGACCAUCAGUGGUAUUUAUUCGAAAACUAACGUGAAUUCUGUCGCAUAGAUGAACCAAAAACUUGACAUGUCCGAAACGCGCUACUGGUGAGCAACAAAAAACAGACUGUGCCCCCCCAAAAAGAAGAUGCAUUAAGAUGCGCAUCUGAUCUUCUCUGAUGGUGCCACAACAAUUACAUACAUCAUGUAUCAGUGUUUAUUUUGGCCAAGGUAUUGGGUGAUAUAUUUUCCCACAAUGCAAAAAAUCCUCUAUUCCUAGAAAAGCUAAAACAUGUAUACGAUUGCUGAAUGUGUCAGUUGAUACAGGUUUUGAAAUGUUCAAUGCAAACUUUUGUUGUUCUAAUUGCACAAGCUUGUUUUCAAGUUUUUUAU